UACGUAGGGGGCUAGCGUUGUCCGGAAUCAUUGGGCGUAAAGCGCGUGUAGGCGGCCCGGUAAGUCCGCUGUGAAAGUCGGGGGCUCAACCCUCGGAUGCCGGUGGAUACUGUCGGGCUCGAGUACGGAAGAGGCGAGUGGAAUCCUGGUGUAGCGGUGAAAUGCGCAGAUAUCAGGAGGAACACCAAUGCGAAGGCAGCUCGCUGGGACGUUACUGACGCUGAGACGCGAAAGCGUGGGGAGCAAACAGG
rnacentral:rRNA from 1 species